rnacentral:rRNA from 1 species
UGGUGGGGUGACUUGUCUGCCUAAUUGCGAUAACGAACGAGGCCUUAACCUGCUAAAUAGCCCGCAUUGCUCCGGCAGUGCGCUGGCUUCUUAGAGGGACUUUCGGCUCAAGCCGAAGGAAGUUUGAGGCAAUAACA